rnacentral:tRNA from 1 species
AUUUUAUUAAUAUAAAAAAGUAUAUUUGAUUUCCAAUCAAAAAGUUUAAAUUUAAAUAAAAUA